rnacentral:rRNA from 1 species
UACGUAGGGGGCAAGCGUUGUCCGGAUUUAUUGGGCGUAAAGGGCUCGUAGGCGGCCAACUAAGUCAGACGUGAAAUCCCUCGGCUUAACCGGGGAACUGCGUCUGAUACUGGAUGGCUUGAGUUCGGGAGAGGGAUGCGGAAUUCCAGGUGUAGCGGUGAAAUGCGUAGAUAUCUGGAGGAACACCGGUGGCGAAGGCGGCAUCCUGGACCGAAACUGACGCUGAGGAGCGAAAGCCAGGGGAGCAAACGGG